CAACUCAGACUUGACGUUCACUCUGCUGCGAUGGCCGUGGUUUUCGCAGCAUUUGUCAUAUUUUUUAUUUAUUACCCAUCAGAAGCUUCAAUCACAAUGGAAUUUAUGCAGAGGUGUUUCUGAAAAAUAAAUGCAGAAAAAGGGGACAAAAAUACCAGAACAAAGAAAAACGUGCACACACCCAUCGAAGAAUAUUAAAGUUCAAUGAGCUUAUGGAAUAAGGAGUGAAAAAGCAUUCACACUCUUCUGUAUAAAUAAUUAAUGUUAAAUUUUGUGUUAAAAAAGUUAUAAAUCUGUUUUUCAAGAAUAAAGCUUUUUGAAAGUUAA